rnacentral:rRNA from 1 species
AACGUAGGAGGCAAGCGUUAUCCGGAAUCACUGGGCGUAAAGGGCGUCUAGGCGGGGUGGUAAGCGUGGUGUGAAAGCUCCUGGCUUAACUGGGAGAGUGCGCCGCGAACUGCCGCUCUAGAGGGUGAGCGAAGGGGGUGGAAUUCCCGGUGGAGUGGUGAAAUGCGUAGAGAUCGGGAGGAACACCAGUGGCGCAAGCGGCCCCCUAGCUUACAACUGACGCUGAAGCGCGAGAGCGUGGGGAGCAAACGGG